rnacentral:lncRNA from 1 species
UUGCUUCAAAUUUGCAAUCUUCCAGCCACACCCUCCUCUGUGUUUGGGUUACAGGUCACCAACAUGCCCAAUAAAAGCUGGCAGAGCAGUCGCCAGGCAAUUUCCCGAUUCAAUUCUUCUUUGAAUUAAUCUGCCUUGCUGAUGGUGGAGAAAGAGACGCACCUUUUAAUAUUUGUGUCCCAAAGAAGACAUUUCUGGAUACCUCAUUCUUUUCUAUUAAAUUGGAAAAUGGUCA